AACGUAGGAGACGAACGUUAUCCGGAGUUACUGGGCGUAAAGGGCGUGUAGGCGGUUUGUUAAGUCUGGCGUGAAAGCUCUCGGCUAAACCGGGAGAGGUCGUUGGAUACUGGCGAACUAGAGGAUGGUAGAGGCGUGUGGAAUUCCGGGUGUAGUGGUGAAAUGCGUAGAGAUCCGGAGGAACACCGGUGGCGAAGGCGGCAUCCUGGACCAACACUGACGCUGAGGAGCGAAAGCCAGGGGAGCAAACGGG
rnacentral:rRNA from 1 species